CAGAGAGUGAGAAUGCCAGUCCCACUGAUUUCAGGAGCCGGCACAGGACACAGAUCCGGCCUGAGGAGUCCCAGAAACCAACUUCAAGAAGACCACCAGGAGUUUAAUACCAGCCUGGGCAACAUGUACAUCUGAUACUCUCCGAAAGUUAAACAAGCCAUUCAGGAAAAUGGGAUUGAGUUAUGACAAGCUGAACAGAAGCCCUGAAAGGUCGUGGGCUCAU